GAGUAAAAUAUGGAGUGGGGUUGGAGAUGUCUUUAUAGCCUUGUUUCCAUUAAUUAGAUAGAUACUUUAAAACUUCCAUUUCUUGGUCCAGUUCAUAAGUUUUCUGUGCGUGGUACAGGUAGCCUAAUGUCCUGAAAUCAUCAUCAGCGGAACAAAGAAAGAUGGACGCCUUGGCAAGUGAUUUUUCAGGCACAUUCUUGUUUGAUGAAGAACUAGAUCUUGUUUAUUUGACUUCGUAUAAACUCUCUUAAGUUUAAACCCCCAAUAUCACCAAUAUUGAUAUUGUCUACACGUCUUCAGUUAUGGUCUGGAGAAGCAAUUCGACGAGGACCUUUACAAGGACUUUGUCUUUGAGCAGCUAACACUUGACUUCUACCUCAAGGGAAACCUAUAUGGCUUGGAGAAAUAUUGGGCAUUCCACCAUUACCGAGGCCAGAAAGAACCGAUAGAGAAGCGCCCUGAGCUAGAGAAGCUACUGAAGCAACAGGUGUUACUUGAGAAUAUUAUUUAGAUAGUACUUUCGUAGAUUUGUUUCAUCUUUAGCAUAUAAUUGGCAUAUAUUGUUUCUGUUAUGUUUUAUGUUGACUACAAGUCUACAACUCCUCAACUUGUAUACAAAUGAAAACAUGAGCUUCAAAAUCAAAUGUAAAGAAUUAUUUUUGUAGGUUA